rnacentral:lncRNA from 1 species
CAUUGGCCGACCGGUGCUCGUUCGCGUUAUAAUUGGUCUCUGCAUCUCCGCCUUCGUCGUCGAGUUCGGUUGAAGGAUCAAACCCCGCCCGGGGCUUGGGAAAAAUGGAUGAGGUAUCGCAGGUGCUGGUGGUUGGUAAGCAGCCGUCGACGGGGGAUGCGUCUAAAAACCUACGAAGGGACAGACCCCCACUUUCAGCUUGCCCCAACUUCUCGCCCUCGGGCAACUCUACCGGCGUCUGAGUCUAUUCCCUGCGACGUUGCGCUCCUCAGUGGCUCAGGGACUUGCGGCCCUUCAGCAUGCGACGGAGGAUGACCUGCACGCCGGCAGGCGUGCUCAGCCGACGGACCCAGCCGUGCUUGUGCUUGCGCUUGAUGUUGCUCGGCUGAUACUCGUUUCCGCGCGCGCGGCCGCGAGCCUGCUGCAGGGAGAGGAGAGGCCAGGAGUCCGGGAGCCCCAUCCAGACUCUGGACUGGAGAUACCUGUGGGACCAGAGGAACCGUGAAUCUCAGAGAAUGUACGCUGUAUGACUUUCUGAGCCGCCUUUGUAAUGGGCAGGGCAACAAAAGAGCUUGUUUACAAAAGGCGCUACAUAAGUACGCAUGGUAGUCUAUAGAGACCACCCUUGUUUCCAUUCUGGAGCAGGGUAUCUCUGAACACUCACCUGCCACUCAAUAGGGCCACCGAUCUGCAGGCCUGGCACCCAAAGCACCGGGCUAGGAAAGCCAUAUCCAGCGGCGGGUCAAUGGUCCGGUCGUCCGGGUCAAUGCCAGUUCCUACACUCUGGGCUCCUUGACAAUGCCUUCUGGGAAAUGUAGUUCUUGUUGCCGCGGGGCCUUCCGGGAGCUGUAGUUCCACACCUGCAGGUGACGAUAGUGGGGUGGGGGUUGGGGGAUGUCUGUCCUCAGUGGCAUGUAGUUCUCCAAAAUGACCAGGAGAGGGCGAACGAAUGUAAACUCCUGCGUGUGCGUAUGACAUUCUGUCCCCCUGGCCUUCUGGGAGUUGUAGUUCUUCGCCUCGGCCACUGGUAGAGGGCG